GGCAGCGGCAGCUGCAGUGCUGGUCGCCCCUCCCCGCAGGAGUUCCGUAGGCUUAAGCAGAUUCCAGCUGAGAGGCUGUUGAGAAUCUGUGUGUUCCAGGGUUGUGAUGCUAGGCCCCCGUGGUGUGGGUUCGCGAAUGGGAUCUUGCAGUCCGUGAGUUGUGCAGCUCCGUGGAGGAAGCACAGUUUCCCUGGCUGGGUCAUGCCAGCCUCCUAGUCAGUUCUGAUGAGAGAACCUGGGUGCCUUGGUUGCCGGUGAAGGAUUCACACGCUUAUUAUGGUUUUUUUCGAUGGGAGCCUCCAAAGGCCCCACUGUUACUAGUUGGCCAUCUUGGCCCCACCCCUCCAAAUAUUUUUUUUCUACCCCCAUUCUCUCUCUCAUCAGGUUUUGGAAUCUCAAUAACAAAUGUAUUAGAUCAUUUGAUAUUGUUCCUCAGUUUUAAUUUGCUUUCUUUUUUUUUUUCUUCUCUGUGUUUCAGUUUGGUUGACUUUCACUAAACUUUCUUAAAUGUUGCUGACGAUUUCCUGUGAUUUUCCUGUGGCUGUA
rnacentral:lncRNA from 10 species